UAAUGCUGGGACAAGUGUAAAAGUCAUCCGUAGCAGGUAGUGAAUUCAAACAAAACCCCUUGAAUGGCAUUCUCCAUGUCUAUCUUGCCCCUAAAGUCUAGGUGAGUAGAUCUUUGGAGGACAAGAAGUUUAGGGUUGUUUUAGGUGAAGGGAAUGGAAGCAGCUUGCGUAUUCUAAACUUUUUCACAAUGAAUGCCAUAGCUCCAUGCCUGCCUCCAUACUGCCCAUCUGUGGGAAGUGUGGUGCUGGGGUGAGACUUUGUUAACCUGAGAUUUCCUUAAUAGUCUCUGUCUUCCUACGAAGGCUGUGAGAAGGGCUUCUGUAACUUUUCCUUCUAAAGGAGUCAGGUCAUUAAUGUAUCCUGAAUAGUCUCACAUACUCUACAGCCGCUGAGUGGGCUGACAGUUUCAAUAUCAGAGGCUAUGUGUUUGGCUUGUUCUGGCGAUGUUUGGUUGAACAUGGUGAUUUAGCCAGGUAGAAGGUGGGCUUAUGAGUCACUUCCAUCAUGUGAAGCUUGACCUGUUAUUCGUUUGGUCUCUUUGUAGGGCGAAUGGGGUGUAACUGCGUCAGAAGAGGAGGAAGAGAAUAGGAGGAUAAAAGAAUUUCAAGAAUCAAUACCCAAAAUGUGCUCACAGCUUCGAAUACUUACUCAUUUUUACCAGCUUUAGAUUGGACUUCAAUGAACAUUAUAAAGCAAGAGAACCAAGGCUUCGUAUUUCUCUGGGCACUAGAGGCAGACGAAGCUCACAUAUGUGAAACAGUUUCUAGUAACUACACCUCGGUAUCCGAAGGAUGUUGAACCUCUUGUUGGACAAUGCAAUCAGUGUCAACAUAAUUACACCAAGUGGCGUGCGAUAGGUGUCCACCAUUUCUGCAGGCAACGUUUCCCGUCAUGUGAUUGUGUGACACUAUAUAGCAGAAAGCAAAGUUUCCCAUGGCUGUGUGAGCUUCCCCAGGGACACUGCAGCUGGUGGGGCUGCACCCUCCUGUUGUGGCCUUCCUGCUGGAUCCUGCGAGGGCCUUUAUUGCUUUCCUUCUCCUGCAAGCUGGCAACAGGGGUGACAAGUGUUUUCAGAGGCGGCAACUGUUUGACUACGUUCCUCUGGAAAGCCCCCUCUGACUUUUCUCUACCUGAAGACGUUCGGUUCUGCGCAUGGAAGACCAUCGCGCUAACCCCCAGCAGCCUCUGGUCUCACAUUAGCGCUCCUCUAAUCCAUUGCUCAGAGCUGCAUGGCCAUCCUUGGCAGCGCCUCCUUCCCCUUGCAGUCCCCAAAUCCGACAGGAUCCAGUGGAGCAGUCCCGGUGAGUUCAUGGAUAACCAUUUGCAUGCCACAUCUCAUCUGCACUCCCCCGUUCGGAUGAAUGAAACCUUAAUGACAGCCUGAGUCGGGAAACCAAAUUGAUGAUGGGACCAAGGGCAUCCCUUGAUGGAGUGCAGCUCCCUSACAGCUCCUCUCGCUCAUCCAACCCUGCCAUAAGCGCUGUGCAUUACACCCAGACAGAAAGGACCAAAAGAGCCAAGGACUCGCACCGUUUUAACCCACCAUUUUUAUUCUUCUAUUCGGAAUAUUCCUCUGAAGUACAAUGUCCCUGUUGGUAAUGAGAACACACACACUUGGAACGAUCGGCUUGGGGUAAAUUGAGGGCAAUGCAGAUAUCUGAGGAAGAGUCAUAACCACCCUCUGAGCUCCUCUGGUAUCUAGGCUGCAAUGAACGUUUUGAAUUCAUGGCAUUAAAUAACUGGGCAAGCUCUGUUGCAAAGUUCACCGGAAGUGGACUGGAGCUGUUGCUGAGAUUUUCAUUUUUUAUGGCGAGCUCAUCCUUUUUUCUCUCGCUUCCUGGUUUUGCUCGGCCUUCCUCUAUACUUGACUCUUCUCUGUUGGAAGCAGCGGCAGGAUUAGCUGGUACCGCUUCUCUGCAACAAUGAGAAUGGCUUUCAGCAAAGAGUACUCACUGCUAGGAAGGAAGAGUCCAGUUAAAAAAAGUUUACAGCAGACGUCUCAACAGCUCACCAGGCACUCCAUGCUACUAUCACUACACAUGCUUUGUUGCUAAAAUAUAGAAAAUAUAAAGAAUGUCAGAAAAGAACAACUCACCGUUUUCUCUUCCUCAUCAGGAAAAUAACUAUACAUGUCAGCACUAGCCCAAACAAUACGGAACCYGAGACUGCGGCAGGGAGGACCAAACGAUGCUUUUCUACGGCUUUAUGAUCCACAGCCUCUGCACCUUUGUCACCACCAAGACCUGGUGGUGGAAAGGAGACAAUCCCAUAUAUCACUGGGUUCUGCAGUAAUGAUAAUCUCACUGUGUGGCUGGGAUUCCCAGGCACUUUUACAUUCCCUGUUGUUACUAUCGCUGAUUCUGGUGUCUUGGCACCGGCGGACAAUAAAGUUCAUUUACACUUCUCUUGGGCA
rnacentral:lncRNA from 1 species